rnacentral:rRNA from 1 species
ACCUGCGGAUGGAUCAUUUCGAUGAAAAACCUUUUUUCUGAGGUGUGGCUCGCACCUGUCCAACUAAACUUGAGCUACCAUUUUUAUACACGGUUGCAUCGGUCGGCCUGUCCAACAGUGCGGGAAUGUAUUUUCCGGCGCUGAGCAGACGAGUCGGCACUUUACACAAACACUUUUGAUAAUCUAGGAUUUGAAUGAAAGUUCAUUUUUAUGAUGGAUCCGACUGGUAAUGCGGUCGUCUAAAUCUAAAAAACAACUUUUGGCAACGGAUCUCUUGGUUCUCCCAUCGAUGAAGAACGCAGCGAAUUGCGAUAAGUAAUGUGAAUUGCAGAAGUGAAUCAUCGAAUCUUUGAACGCACCUUGCGCUCCCGGCAGAUCUAAUCUGGGGAGCAUGCCUGUUUGAGGGCCGCGAAUUGUUUCGAACGACAGCUUUUUUCAGUAAGAGCUGGCGGAUCGGUAUUGAGGGUCUUUGCCAUUCACCGUGGCUCCCUCGAAAUGCAUUAGCGCAUCCAUUUGAUAGGCGAAAGACGGACGAAAGCUCGAUUUUCGCCCUCUCUUCCCUGCCGGGUUUUGAUAAUAUCAGGACUUCGGAGGCGGAGAAAGGGUUAGAGCUGGACGCAACGACUUUUGCUGGUUGGAGUGCUUCUGAACCCCGCCCUUUCUGUCAGAGAAAGGGAUUUAUUUCAAUUCAUCGGCCUCAGAUUGGUAGGACUACCCGCUGAACUUAAGCAUAUCAAUA